GGUUAAGCGACUAAGCGUACACGGUGGAUGCCCUGGCAGUCAGAGGCGAUGAAGGACGUGCUAAUCUGCGAUAAGCGUCGGUGAGGUGAUAUGAACCGUUAUAACCGGCGAUUUCCGAAUGGGGAAACCCAGUGUGUUUCGACACACUAUCAUUAACUGAAUCCAUAGGUUAAUGAGGCGAACCGGGGGAACUGAAACAUCUAAGUACCCCGAGGAAAAGAAAUCAACCGAGAUUCCCCCAGUAGCGGCGAGCGAACGGGGAGGAGCCCAGAGCCUGAAUCAGUGUGUGUGUUAGUGGAAGCGUCUGGAAAGGCGUGCGAUACAGGGUGACAGCCCCGUACACAAAAAUGCACAUAUUGUGAGCUCGAUGAGUAGGGCGGGACACGUGGUAUCCUGUCUGAAUAUGGGGGGACCAUCCUCCAAGGCUAAAUACUCCUGACUGACCGAUAGUGAACCAGUACCGUGAGGGAAAGGCGAAAAGAACCCCGGCGAGGGGAGUGAAAAAGAACCUGAAACCGUGUACGUACAAGCAGUGGGAGCCUCUUAAUGGGGUGACUGCGUACCUUUUGUAUAAUGGGUCAGCGACUUAUAUUCUGUAGCAAGGUUAACCGAAUAGGGGAGCCGAAGGGAAACCGAGUCUUAACUGGGCGUUAAGUUGCAGGGUAUAGACCCGAAACCCGGUGAUCUAGCCAUGGGCAGGUUGAAGGUUGGGUAACACUAACUGGAGGACCGAACCGACUAAUGUUGAAAAAUUAGCGGAUGACUUGUGGCUGGGGGUGAAAGGCCAAUCAAACCGGGAGAUAGCUGGUUCUCCCCGAAAGCUAUUUAGGUAGCGCCUCGUGAAUUCAUCUCCGGGGGUAGAGCACUGUUUCGGCAAGGGGGUCAUCCCGACUUACCAACCCGAUGCAAACUGCGAAUACCGGAGAAUGUUAUCACGGGAGACACACGGCGGGUGCUAACGUCCGUCGUGAAGAGGGAAACAACCCAGACCGCCAGCUAAGGUCCCAAAGUCAUGGUUAAGUGGGAAACGAUGUGGGAAGGCCCAGACAGCCAGGAUGUUGGCUUAGAAGCAGCCAUCAUUUAAAGAAAGCGUAAUAGCUCACUGGUCGAGUCGGCCUGCGCGGAAGAUGUAACGGGGCUAAACCAUGCACCGAAGCUGCGGCAGCGACACUAUGUGUUGUUGGGUAGGGGAGCGU
rnacentral:rRNA from 1 species